GUGGAAACACAUUACAUCACUACUAAAAUAGUAUUAUUGCUUUAUAACAGCUAUAAAUUAUGUACAUUAUUUUGACUAAUCUAUGUCAUUAUAUAUUAAUUAAACCUUGAACUCUGAGCGCACAGGGGAUGAUGGAUUAUUGGUUAUAUAGACCCAUAUACUUUAAAGUUUGGCUUUGCAAGAAUACCUAAGACAUGUAGAAGACUCACGACAGAAAACAUAUAGCUAUACUUGCUGGAAAGGCAAUUUUCUGAGUUUAAGGGCCUAAUAGGUGAAAACAAUCAUCCCUUACGCGCUCACACCCUUACAAAAAUUUCACAUAACAUUUCAUAUAUGAAAAUUUCAUAUAUGAAAUCGUUAUAUGGAAUUGAAACAAAUUUCAU